UGUCGUCGGGCUCCAGGCCCUGCUCUUGACCACCGGGCUUCAAAAUUCUACGAGUUUCUGACUUCUGGGCAGUUUACAGCUUCCUCACACCAUUCUGAGCCUGGGGACAAAGGUGCCCGGUGGUCCCCUCCACCCACUGGGACGCUGAAAUUGGUUAAGGAGGUUCUCCGGCUACCUGUCUGCACUGCCAUGUGCUAUGGAGGGCCACUGUGAUGAGGUCACACACAGAGUCUGAGGGAAGAGGACCAUGGGGUCAGCCAGACCAAAAGAGAGAGAGGUAGGGCUUGCUUGGCUGACCUGGGAUCCUCCAGGAGGUAUUCUGAGUAUGCACCAUACUUACGCAGGGUUUCACACCAAAGGAAACAAGACCUCACAUGUGCCUGUCUGGAUACAAAACAGGCCAAGUUUGUGCCAGGAGAUGAGAAGAAGUGCCAGGGUGCAUUGGCAUGAACUUCACACGCCAAAGUAGACUUGAAGUCCCUGUUUCUAAUGGAAAUGGGCAAAAGGCUCAAACAGGACUAAGCUGUCCAAACAUCCCUGCCAAGAGCUGCUGACACCACAGCCCUACCAUCCCCAGCAGAGCCAUCUCUUGGCUUCCCUCUAAGCCCUACACCCCACCCUGCAGCUGGAGAGAGGGUGCCAGGCUCCCUCCAGACCACACACUGCACAGCCCAGCUCUCCAUCCUUCAAUCAUAGGACUUGAAAAGCAUUGGCAGAUGCUCACAGACAGACUCUGCAUUGGGAGCAGGUAAAAAAUGCCCACCUGGAUUCUGCAGGAGACAGGAGGCUGUCAGCAGGGAGCACCUGGACGCAUCUCAGAUUUGCAGCUACCUGUAGGUUCGUCUUAGCCCAGAAACCGCAGGAAUCUGCCCUCAUCCCACCCACGAGAGCUCAUUUCCAGCCUCCAAACUUGACCGCACGUUGUUUUGUGUCUCUGUCUCUGUGCCUGCCUGUCCCACUGGGGCAGAACCUGAGCUGGCUUGCCUGGCCCUACCCAGUUUCACACAGCUGUGGACAUGGUUGGGGACCAAUCAGUGCUUGAACCAGGGACACUGCUAGACUCUAUCCAAAACCUCACUCACUGUGCCUUCCAAUUCCAGAGUCACUCAGCUGCCCGGCCCAGCUUCUACUGCGCCAUCUUUUAUUCCUCCUGAGUGCCAUCAAUCAAGAUUAAACUCUGCCAUGUGCCCCUGGCUUUUCCCAGCCCUGCAACCCGGCUUCCCUUCUCACUGGGGCCUUUUGCCCUUUUCCCCGUCCUUCUAAACUGCGCCUGCGCCUCUGGCAUCCCUCCCAGGACCCACUUACCUUCUUAGGCUGGUCCAUCCUCCUCUUUUCAGAGGCGACGUGUGCUGUGCUUGGCCUCUGGCUCACUGGGGAUCAGAAAAACAAAAUAUAUCAUCUGACUGCCCUAUUUUUUCUUUUUUCUUUUUAAAUUCUUUUUGCUUAAGAAUGAAGCAAGCCCUUCCCUGCUAUUCUCAGGAAGAGCUUCAAACAUGGCAGGCCACUGGCAAAAAUAUAUCCUCCUUCUCAGAGAGAAAGAAUGCAACUGUUGACAACAACAAAAAAUCACUGGGAUUUGUGGAGGCCUUGGGCUUACGAGCCCGUUCACCUCCGUGCACUCACGUGACACAGCGGCACGUGGAGGCGUCACAUCCAUUUUAGAGAGAGGGAAACUGAGGCUCCAAAAGGCAGGGAUUUCCCCAAGGGCACCACUCUUGGAGUUAGGAUAAGCUGCUGGCUUCGGGGAUGAUGAAAUUUCGUUGCAUUUUGUAU